rnacentral:rRNA from 1 species
CAGGCUUAACACAUGCAAGUCGAGGGGCAGCAUGGUCUUAGCUUGCUAAGGCCGAUGGCGACCGGCGCACGGGUGAGUAACACGUAUCCAACCUGCCGUCUACUCUUGGACAGCCUUCUGAAAGGAAGAUUAAUACAAGAUGGCAUCAUGAGUCCGCAUGUUCACAUGAUUAAAGGUAUUCCGGUAGACGAUGGGGAUGCGUUCCAUUAGAUAGUAGGCGGGGUAACGGCCCACCUAGUCUUCGAUGGAUAGGGGUUCUGAGAGGAAGGUCCCCCACAUUGGAACUGAGACACGGUCCAAACUCCUACGGGAGGCAGCAGUGAGGAAUAUUGGUCAAUGGGCGAGAGCCUGAACCAGCCAAGUAGCGUGAAGGAUGACUGCCCUAUGGGUUGUAAACUUCUUUUAUAAAGGAAUAAAGUCGGGUAUGGAUACCCGUUUGCAUGUACUUUAUGAAUAAGGAUCGGCUAACUCCGUGCCAGCAGCCGCGGUAAUACGGAGGAUCCGAGCGUUAUCCGGAUUUAUUGGGUUUAAAGGGAGCGUAGAUGGAUGUUUAAGUCAGUUGUGAAAGUUUGCGGCUCAACCGUAAAAUUGCAGUUGAUACUGGAUAUCUUGAGUGCAGUUGAGGCAGGCGGAAUUCGUGGUGUAGCGGUGAAAUGCUUAGAUAUCACGAAGAACUCCGAUUGCGAAGGCAGCCUGCUAAGCUGCAACUGACAUUGAGGCUCGAAAGUGUGGGUAUCAAACAGGAUUAGAUACCCUGGUAGUCCACACGGUAAACGAUGAAUACUCGCUGUUUGCGAUAUACUGCAAGCGGCCAAGCGAAAGCGUUAAGUAUUCCACCUGGGGAGUACGCCGGCAACGGUGAAACUCAAAGGAAUUGACGGGGGCCCGCACAAGCGGAGGAACAUGUGGUUUAAUUCGAUGAUACGCGAGGAACCUUACCCGGGCUUAAAUUGCAGAUGAAUUACGGUGAAAGCCGUAAGCCGCAAGGCAUCUGUGAAGGCGCUGCAUGGUUGUCGUCAGCUCGUGCCGUGAGGUGUCGGCUUAAGUGCCAUAACGAGCGCAACCCUUGUUGUCAGUUACUAACAGGUUCCGCUGAGGACUCUGACAAGACUGCCAUCGUAAGAUGUGAGGAAGGUGGGGAUGACGUCAAAUCAGCACGGCCCUUACGUCCGGGGCUACACACGUGUUACAAUGGGGGGUACAGAGGGCCGCUACCACGCGAGUGGAUGCCAAUCCCCAAAACCUCUCUCAGUUCGGACUGGAGUCUGCAACCCGACUCCACGAAGCUGGAUUCGCUAGUAAUCGCGCAUCAGCCACGGCGCGGUGAAUACGUUCCCGGGCCUUGUACACACCGCCCGUCAAGCCAUGGGAGCCGGGGGUACCUGAAGUGCGUAACCGCGAGGAGCGCCCUAGGGUAAAACUGGUGACUGGGGCUAAG